GGGGAAUAUUGCACAAUGGGCGCAAGCCUGAUGCAGCGACGCCGCGUGGGGGAUGACGGCCUUCGGGUUGUAAACCUCUUUCAGUAUCGGCGAAGCUCCAGGGUUUUCUUUGGGGUGACGGUAGGUACAGAAGAAGCACCGGCCAACUACGUGCCAGCAGCCGCGGUAAUACGUAGGGUGCGAGCGUUGUCCGGAAUUACUGGGCGUAAAGAGCUCGUAGGUGGUUUGUCGCGUUGUUCGUGAAAACUCACAGCUUAACUGUGGGCGUGCGGGCGAUACGGGCAGACUGGAGUACUGUAGGGGAGACUGGAAUUCCUGGUGUAGCGGUGGAAUGCGCAGAUAUCAGGAGGAACACCGGUGGCGAAGGCGGGUCUCUGGGCAGUAACUGACGCUGAGGAGCGAAAGCGUGGGGAGCGAAC
rnacentral:rRNA from 1 species